CCUCCACUAGUUUCACAGAACAAUCAUGGAGACUAGUAAACACCAACAUAGAUAUAGUACAUCAAACUGUUCAUCAAACUCAGAUGUUCAUGUGGUGUCUUAAAGAAAUGCAGCAGCGUUUAAAGAUUUCUCUCUGUUUGUUGUUUGACAGGCUCAAAUGUGCCCAUACCUGUGCAAAGGAACAAGUUGUUCUAGAAAAAACAACCAAGAGAUGGGAGAGAUUGAUGCAGCUUGAAUUUUAUGCUUUUCAAAUUUGCCUGAAAUAGCUUUGUUUAAAAUGAGAAAUGAAAAUGUAUCAUUGUCUAUACUUUUCACCUGUCCGUUGACUUAAUCCCAAUCACGCUUGUGUAAUUGCUAGUCAGCUGUAUGAAAUACUAAAAAAUGAACAAAAAUAAACAUUCAUUUUCAUUUCUAGUAA